rnacentral:rRNA from 1 species
AGUGAACGCUGGCGGUAGGCCUAACACAUGCAAGUCGAACGGCAGCACAGUAAGAGCUUGCUCUUACGGGUGGCGAGUGGCGGACGGGUGAGGAAUACAUCGGAAUCUACUUUUUCGUGGGGGAUAACGUAGGGAAACUUACGCUAAUACCGCAUACGACCUACGGGUGAAAGCAGGGGAUCUUCGGACCUUGCGCGAUUGAAUGAGCCGAUGUCGGAUUAGCUAGUUGGCGGGGUAAAGGCCCACCAAGGCGACGAUCCGUAGCUGGUCUGAGAGGAUGAUCAGCCACACUGAAACGGGGAACGGGUCCAGACCCCUAGGGGGGGCGGAGGUGGGAAAUUUUGGCAAAGGGGCGAAAGCCUAAUCACGCCAGCCCGGGGGGGGAAAAAGGGCCUUGGGGUUGUAAACCCCUUUUUUGGGGAAAAAAAAGCAGCAGGUUAAUCCCCCGCUGUUCUGAGGGAACCAAAAGAAAAAGCACCGGCAAAUUUCGU